UAAUACAGAGGGUGCGAGCGUUGUCCGGAAUCACUGGGCGUAAAGGGCGCGUAGGCGGCUUCUCACGCGUGCGGUGAAAGCUCGGGGCUUAACUCCGAGUCUGCCGUGCGAACGGGGAGGCUUGAGUCUGGUAGAGGUCGAUGGAAUUCCGGGUGUAGCGGUGGAAUGCGUAGAGAUCCGGAAGAACACCGGUGGCGAAGGCGGUCGACUGGGCCAGUACUGACGCUGAGGCGCGACAGCGUGGGGAGCAAACAGGAUUAGAUACCCUGGUAGUCCACGCCGUAAACGAUGGGCACUAGAUCCUUGGGGGAGCGACCCCUUGAGGGUCGGCGCUAACGCAUUAAGUGCCCCGCCUGGGGAGUACGGCCGCAAGGCUG
rnacentral:rRNA from 1 species